CGGGGGGCAGCAGUGGGGAAUAUUGCACAAUGGGCGAAAGCCUGAUGCAGCAACGCCGCGUGAGGGAUGAAGGCCUUCGGGUUGUAAACCUCUUUUAGUUGGGAAGAAGCGAAAGUGACGGUACCAACAGAAAAAGCACCGGCUAACUACGUGCCAGCAGCCGCGGUAAUACGUAGGGUGCAAGCGUUGUCCGGAAUUAUUGGGCGUAAAGAGCUCGUAGGCGGUUUGUCGCGUCUGCUGUGAAAAUCCGAGGCUCAACCUCGGACCUGCAGUGGGUACGGGCAGACUAGAGUGCGGUAGGGGAGAAGGGAAUUCCUGGUGUAGCGGUGGAAUGCGCAGAUAUCAGGAGGAACACCAAUGGCGAAGGCACUUCUCUGGGCCGUAACUGACGCUGAGGAGCGAAAGCGUGGGGAGCGAACAGGAUUAGAUACCCGAGU
rnacentral:rRNA from 1 species